CAUCUCCCGAAAUCUCAGCCGCCAUUUUUGAAAGAUGCCGACUUGGUUUCUAAUGAGAGAGAGGAGGAAAGAAUAUGGACUUGGAUUCCCAGUUCAAGCACAGCACCUGACACGGAGAGACACAUAGUCAAGAUCUGUAGAGCAAAUUAUGAACACAUGGACUGCUGACCUGCAUUAGCCUGGUAUCCAACUCCACACACCCCACUGGAUGCACGUUAACUCUUCCCAGUUUCCCCCAUUAGACUUGAAAUACCAAGAGGACACGGGGUGUGCGUGUGCAUCCUUCCUUCCUCCCUCCCUGGAACGUCUAACCUGGUACCUUGACCUUUACAGAUGCUCUAAAGUAUUGUGGUGUGGGGAGGUGAGGAUCAGAUCUUGUACUUAUGGCUGGCCUGGUACUUACGACGUAGUUCAGGUUGGCCUUGAAUUCACAGCAACAACCUGCUUUAGCCCCCUGAGUGCUAGGAUUAUGGGUUUGCACCAACAGGCCGGAGUCUCUACAAAGCAUUUUUUAAUAGAAGUGCCAAACAAAGAAGGCUGUCACUGCUGAUACAUCUUACAUUCCCCAUGCCCAUGUUGUCCAGGUGCAUUUUCACAUUCCUGGAGCAACUGGAUGCAACUGUGAGAGGACAGAGUCAAAAUGGCAGACUCCUUUACUAGCAGAGCUUCCCCUUCGCUGACCUUGUCUUCGAAAGCUCAAAACACCUAUACCAUCAACCUGUGGAAUGUGGCACCUAGAUGUCUUUAGAUUACAGCUUCGGCUUCCUUUCUCCCGAGAUUUCUGGAAUGUCUGCCCUUGCUGUUGAGGCAGCUCCGGACCUUACCCUUCAGCCAAUGACCUUUGCUCACCCUGGAGAUUCUCAACCCCUUCCCCAAAUCUAUAUAAAACCCUUGGUUCACCCUGAAUAAAGUAUGCAUACAAGCUCA